rnacentral:lncRNA from 1 species
AGUUGAAGUAACCAGAAAGUAGCUGCAGUUCUGUACUUAGAUGAAUAAUCUAGGGACAUCGUGUAAUUUACUAUUUAUUUGAAUUUAAAUGUUCCCAUGUUACUGGGCCAUGGAAAUAAAAUGUUCAUGAAACCUUGAGUAAUAGUUUAGUUAAGCAUGUGUUUCAAUUCUCCUGGUUUUAACAAGAAGCCAACUGAAGGGUAGCGGGACACCGUGAGAGAGUCUGUGUUUGAAAUGAGCAAGAGAGAGAAUAAAUGUAACACGUAUCCUUUUUGGUCCUUCUGGGCAGAAUGAAUGACUGCCUUCCAGUGGACGAAGGUUUUCUUCAGCUGUCACCUUCAUCAGUCACAGGAAACAGGACUAAGCUGGGUGUGCUGACCCAUCUGUCAUCAUCUCAGAGGUGGAGGAAAGAGCAUCAGGGAUUCAAGGCCAUCAUCCUCAGCUACAUAGUAUCCUCCUUGUUGCCUGAGGAUCAAGAUAUAGACUCUCAGCUCCUUCUCCAGCACCAUGCUUGCCUGCAUGCCUUCAUGCUUCUUGCCAUGAUAGUGAUGGACUGAACUUCUGAAACUGACUUCCUGCUGUGGUGGCCUGACUUCUCCCGUGGUAGACUGUCCCCUCGGGCUGUGAGCCAAGACAAAUCCUUUAGGCAGGGCCAGAUCAAUUGUCCUGAUCACUGAUAACUGCUCUCAGGUCGUCUGCAUCUCCUGGGAGGAUCGCUGUUCCUACAGAACUCACCACGGAACUCGAACUUACCAGGUCCAAACCACCUGUCCGGUCAAUUCCCUGCUCAGCUCCCAGAUGCCCGCCCUCUUCUCAUUUCCUCUGGCAUGUCAGGCCUCCACCACCCGGUGCACGGCUACUUCAGCAACCUCCAGCGCUCUUCCUUUUAAUCCAGCCUGUGAUCAGGAAUUACGACAUGCCCAGCCUGCACGCUGCCUGAGACAUGACUAUGAGCUCGCCACCCUCCCUGAACCUGUGUCCAUCUGACCUGUUGGCCAUCUCUUCUGAUGACCAGUUCCACCCAAGAAUUCUGCUACAAACCUCUCAAGUUUGAGGGGUACAAGAAGCACACCCCCCACCAACACACGCACACUUUGGUUCAACUAGCUGUGAAUCCUGGAGUCCCCAUGUUUCUGACAAUGCUUUGAUUUUUUUUUCAUCAGCACAAAACUGAAGGGAGAGAUAUGCAGAAUAAAGCCCUACCUGGGAAGAUCUGAAGUGAAGAGCGUAUGUGUCCUCAGUGGCACGGUGUCCUCUGAGGACGUCCAUGUGUGGCUGUCCCUUAUGCUACCUAUUCCAGAAGCUCCAGGUUUUAGUGUUCCGAGUUUCUGCCCAGGCUCCCAGGGUCAUGAUUGACAGUCAUUUUCUUCUCUCUUUCUGCUCUCUGCCCCUUGGUCCUCCUGGUCUGGCCAGCCCCCUGCCUGAUAUUAUAGGUGUCCUAGCCCUGCCCUUCAUCUGUCAGAUGAAGGAUCACAUGUCCAUGUAAGCUCUCUGGUCACCACAGCAUGGAGUGUGAUCCCAAGGGCCUUAGAGAAACAUGACACCCCAUCAGUUGGGGGAAUUCUGCGGCUGAUCCCCCAAGGUCAUCACAUCCCUGGCUCACACUCCCUUACUUUAGAAUUAAAAUGUCAGUUAUUCAGUAGGAGCUCCAAGGUCUUC